rnacentral:rRNA from 1 species
AGUAGACGCUGGCGGCAUGCCUAACACAUGCAAGUCGAACGGCAGCACAGCAGUAGCAAUACUGUGGGUGGCGAGUGGCGGACGGGUGAGGAACACAUCGGAAUUUGCCCAGUCGUGGGGGAUAACGUAGGGAAACUUACGCUAAUACCGCAUACGACCUAACGGUGAAAGCGGGGGAUCGCAAGACCUCGCGCGGAUGGAUAAGCCGAUGUCGGAUUAGCUAGUUGGCGGGGUAAAGGCCCACCAAGGCGACGAUCCGUAGCUGGUCUGAGAGGAUGAUCAGCCACACUGGGACUGAGACACGGCCCAGACUCCUACGGGAGGCAGCAGUGGGGAAUAUUGGACAAUGGGGGCAACCCUGAUCCAGCAAUGCCGCGUGUGUGAAGAAGGCCUUCGGGUUGUAAAGCACUUUUAUCGGGAACGAAACAUUGUCGGUGAAUAUCCGGCAAGACUGACGGUACCCGAGGAAUAAGCACCGGCUAACUUCGUG